rnacentral:rRNA from 1 species
AUGGAAUCCAGCGGGGAGGAGCUCCUGAAGAAGAUCCGGCAGCUGGAGGUGGGCCAGGCGCAGCUCAAGCAGGAGAUGUCCAAGUUCGCGCUGCCACCGACCGGCGGCGGAGGGGAGCGCCGGCGCUCGCAGUCCGUCUCGCCCAGCCGCGGCGCGCCGCCUCAUCCUGCGCCGGCGCCGGCGCCCUCGAGGCGGCUCUCCGGGGGACUUGAUGGAGGCCCGCGGGGGUGGGGCCGUGGCUCCGCGUCCUUCUCGCACUCGUCGCCGCUGCAGCGGGAAGGCCGUGCCGCGGCCGAAGGCGGCGCCACGGGCGCUGGGCUGGCGGAGCGGCAGUACCGCAGGGUGCUCCAGUCGCUGGGGCAGUCCGUCCACAUUCUUGACCUCGAUGGAAGGAUCAUAUACUGGAAUCGGUCUGCAGAGAAUCUCUAUGGUUAUCCUGCAUCAGAAGUACUUGGUCAGGAUGCACUCAUGCUGCUGGUUGAUUCCCGUGACCUCAGUGUGGUAAAUGAUAUGUUUCGACGCAUUUCUUUGGGUGAGAGUUGGACUGGGAAGUUUCCAGUUAAGAACAAGGCAGGGGAUAGGUUUUUAGCUGUUGGCACCAACACUCCAUUUUAUGAUGAGGAUGGCAGUUUGGUGGGCAUUAUUUGUGUUUCAAGUGAUUCACGCGCAUUGGAGGAGAUACUCAGUGGACCUUCAACCUCUGCCAGGUCCCAUUCAGAAUCAUCUAGCCCCUCCUGUUGUGAUGGCAGUUGCAGCAACAGUAAUCGAAAAACCAGUUUGUUGAACAGAAAUCCGUUUGAUCCCCAGCAGUCUACUAUAGCCUCCAAGAUAACAAAUUUGGCUAACAAGGUUACAAAUAAAGUUCGUUCGAGGGUCAAGAUGGAUGAGAAUGGCAUGCUACGGGAAGGUGGCAGUGGUGAGAGUCAGUGCUCUGAUCGUGAUAACAAGGAAGGUCCAUCUAGUGGACCAAGUACACCAAGAGGAGAUGCACCACAUGGCGCCUUCGGCACCGAAGAGAAUUCCCCUGGAAAAUCAACCAAAACAAAUGGUGAUGAAUCAGAAGCGAAAAUAGGUCUCCACAAGAUCUUGAGCUCAAAAGCAGAGGCAUUGUUGAACAAGAAAGGGAUAACAUGGCCUUGGAAAGGGCGGGAGAAUGACGGGCCUGAUUGCAGAAAUCAAGUGACCUGGCCAUCAUUGCAUGGUGAGCAAGAGAAUGGCCAGAAUCAUCCGAAAAUCUCUGACACUCAAGUGGCCGAAUUCAACCAACCUAAUAAAAAUGAGGCAUCAGGUUCCUGGUCUUCUUUCAACAAUAACAGCUCAAGUAGUGCAAGCAGCACUGGAAGCACCAAUAGUAGUGCUCUAUACAAAAUAGACCAUGAAGCAGACUGUCUGGAUUAUGAAAUCCUGUGGGAAGAUCUUGUAAUUGGAGAACAAGUAGGCCAAGGCUCCUGUGGGACAGUAUAUCAUGCCUUGUGGUAUGGCUCGGAUGUGGGUGUGAAAGUUUUCUCCAGGCAGGAAUAUUCCGAGGAAGUGAUACAGGCCUUUCGACAAGAGGUAUCCCUUAUGAAGAAAUUACGUCAUCCUAAUAUACUGCUCUUCAUGGGUGCGGUUACAUCUCCACACCGCCUCUGUAUUGUUACCGAGUUCCUCCCACGUGGAAGUUUAUUUCGCUUACUUCAAAGAAGCACUACCAAGUUGGAUUGGAGACGACGUGUUCACAUGGCUUUAGAUGUUGCAAGGGGCAUGAAUUAUCUUCAUCACUAUAGCCCACCUAUCAUUCAUCGAGAUUUAAAAUCGUCAAAUCUACUGGUUGAUAAGAACUGGACUGUUAAGGUUGCAGAUUUUGGUCUUUCACGUCUCAAGCGUGAAACUUAUCUGACAACAAAAACAGGAAAAGGAACGCCACAAUGGAUGGCUCCGGAGGUAUUGCGCAAUGAACCUUCAGAUGAAAAGUCUGAUGUAUAUAGCUAUGGGGUGAUCCUAUGGGAGCUUGUCACUCAGAAGAUACCCUGGGAAAAUCUCAAUUCAAUGCAGGUCAUUGGUGCAGUAGGUUUCAUGAACCAAAGGUUGGAGAUUCCCAGUGAAACAGAUCCUUACUGGACAUCACUUAUACUCAGUUGUUGGGAAACUGACCCACAAAGCCGUCCGUCGUUCCAAGAACUUCUGGAGAAGCUCAGGGAACUACAAAGGAAGUACGCUGUCCAGAAUCAGGUGCAGCGAAAUGCAUCUGCCGCUGCGAAGAAUAGCAUCAUCGAGGAAUGA